AUACGGAGGAUCCGAGCGUUAUCCGGAUUUAUUGGGUUUAAAGGGUGCGCAGGCGGCCAUUUAAGUCAGCGGUUAAAUCGUGGGGCUCAACCCCAUUCUGCCGUUGAUACUGGGUGGCUUGGUUGCGGUCGAGGUUGGCGGAAUUUGUUUUGUAGCGGUGGAAUGCAUAGAUAUGACGAAGAACACCGAUUGCGUAGGCAGCUGACCAGACCGCAAAUGACGCUCAUGCACGAAAGUGCGGGGAUCGAACAGGAUUAGAUACCCUGGUAGUCCGCACAGUAAACGAUGAAUACUUGUUUUCGGCGAUAUAAUGUCGGAGGCAAAGCGAAAGCGAUAAGUAUUCCACCUGGGGAGUACGCCGGCAACGGUGAAACUCAUAGGAAUUGACGGGG
rnacentral:rRNA from 1 species